UGGUCAUUACCAAAGCUACUAUUUAUGCAGUUUAUAGUUUGCUGUGGACAUGACCAAAAAGUAACACUUCAAAUAGGCCUUUGUUGUUCCAAUAUGAGUACAAUGCUGGGCCUUUUUGAAGAACAA
rfam:Xenopus laevis strain J chromosome 2S, whole genome shotgun sequence.